rnacentral:ncRNA from 1 species
ACCCGUCGCAUAUGCGGGUCUUCAUAUGCACCUCCCUGUUGGACUGACCCCGGCACCGUCCGGGGUCUUUUUU